rnacentral:rRNA from 1 species
UCCUACGGGAGGCAGCAGUGAGGAAUAUUUCACAAUGAGCGAAAGCUUGAUGGAGCAAUGCCGCGUGCAGGAUGAAGGCCCUCGGGUUGUAAACUGCUUUUAUAAGAGAAGAUUAUGACGGUAACUUAUGAAUAAGGGACGGCUAACUACGUGCCAGCAGCCGCGGUCAUACGUAGGUCCCGAGCGUUAUCCGGAGUGACUGGGCGUAAAGAGUUGCGUAGGCGGUCAAGUUAGCGAGCGAUGAAAACUAUCGGCUCAACCGAUAGCUUGUUGUUCGAACUGCUUGACUCGAGAGUAUCAGAGGUCGCUGGAAUUCCUAGUGUAGCAGUGAAAUGCGUAGAUAUUAGGAAGAACACCGAUGGCGUAGGCAGGCGACUGGGAUAUUUCUGACGCUAAGGCACGAAAGCGUGGGUAGCGAACCGGAUUAGAUACCCGGGUAGUCCACGCCGUAAACGAUGGAUGCUAAUUGUUUGAGGUAUCGACCCCUCGAGUAAUAAAGCUAACGCGUUAAGCAUCCCGCCUGUGGAGUACGGCCGCAAGGCUAAAACAUAAAGGAAUUGACGGGGGCCCGCACAAG